rnacentral:rRNA from 1 species
GGUCAAGCUACAAAGGGCUCACGGUGGAUACCUAGGCA